rnacentral:rRNA from 1 species
CCAGACUCCUACGGGAGGCUGCAGUCGAGGAUCAUUCGCAAUGCGCGAAAGCGUGACGAUGCGACGCUGCGUGGAGGAUGACGGCCCUAGGGUUGUAAACUCCUGUCAUGAGGGAGAAGCCGGCGACGGGUUAAUAACCCGCCGCCCCGAUAGUACCUCAAGAGGAAGCCACGGCUAACUCUGUGCCAGCAGCCGCGGUAAUACCGAGGUGGCUAGCGUUGUUCGGAUUUACUGGGCGUAAAGCGUGCGUAGGCGGUCGAGUAAGUCGGAUGUGAAAGCCCGGGGCCCAACCCCGGAAUUGCGUCCGAAACUGCCCGACUUGAGUGCAGGAUGGGAGAGGGGAAUUCAUGGAGUAGCGGUGAAAUGCGUUGAUAUCAUGAAGAACACCGGUGGCGAAGGCGCCUCUCUGGAAUGCAACUGACGCUGGAGCACGAAAGCAUGGGGAGCGAACAGGAUUAGAUACCCUGGUAGUCCAUGCCGUAAACGGUGCGCACUUGGUGUUGGAAGGGUCAGCCCUUUCAGUGCCGGAGCUAACGCGUUAAGUGCGCCGCCUGGGGAGUACGGCCGCAAGGCUAAAACUCAAAGAAAUUGACGGGGGCCCGCACAAGCGGAGGAGCAUGUGGCUUAAUUCGAUGCAACGCGAAGGACCUUACCCAGGCUUGACAUAUAACUGCAAGUCCUGUGAAAGCAGGAUUCCUUCGAGGGUGUUAUACAGGUGCUGCAUGGCUGUCGUCAGUUCGUGCCGUGAGGUGUUUGGUUAAGUCCAGCAACGAACGCAACCCCUGUGUCCAGUUGCCAUCAGGUAAUGCUGGGAACUCUGGACAGACUGCCUGUGCAAUCAGGAGGAAGGUGGGGACGACGUCAAGUCAGUAUGGCCCUUACGCCUGGGGCUGCACACGUGCUACAAUGGCCGGUACAGAAGGAUGCAACACCGCGAGGUUGAGCAAAUCCCCAAAGCCGGCCCCAGUUCGGAUUGAAGUCUGCAACUCGACUUCAUGAAGUUGGAUUCGCUAGUAACGGCGUAUCAGCUACGACGCCGUGAUACGUUCCCGGGCNUUGACACACCGCCCGUCACAUCAUGAAAGCCGUCUGCACCCGAAGUCGUUGACCCAACCCGCAAGGGAGGGAGGCGCCGAAGGUGUG